GUUUCUGUAGUGUAGUGGUUAUCACGUUCGCCUCACACGCGAAAGUUCCCCGGUUCGAAACCGGGCAGAAACA
rfam:Xenopus tropicalis strain Nigerian Chr03_contig_3064, whole genome shotgun sequence.